GUUGCUUUGGCACCACAUAUACUGAAAUUGUAACAAUAACAAGAGAAUUACCAUGGCCCCUGUGCAAGGAUAACAUGCAAAUUCAUGAAAUGCUCCAUAUUUUU
ensembl:snRNA U6 U6 spliceosomal RNA